AUCCUCGGGAGAGAGGGUCGCUGCUGUAAGGUCAGUCUGGCUCUGCAGUUAGAGCCUGUUGUUGGAACCUGCAGUCACAGUCUAGCCAGGUAAAAGCCUGCAAUCAGAGUCUGUAAACUAGUGCAUGCAGUCACAGUUUAGCGGGAAAUAACCAGCAGUCAGAGGCUGCAAGGGAAACCUACAGUAGGAGCUUGCUGCAGCCGGAGUCAGGAUGGCUAAGCUGUAAAGAGGAAUAAACCAGGCCCCUUUUCAUGCCUUGAUAAACAGGAAGUCUGUGUCUUGGCUUAUUUCUACUCUCUAACAAGAGGGCUGCUGCAACACUUGCAUUUUAAUUGUAGCCAACAUAAGAUGGUUGGUGAUUAAUACAACCCUCAUGGACAUGCUUAUAGUGGCAAUGUGCAAGAGGACAUUAACAGGAGUACCAAGAUAUCUGGUAGGGUCAAAGAAAAGGGUGGAGGGUGUGACAGCAGCUGAGACUAAGCUGUUCAUUGGUGAAAAUCCUGAACACUCAGGAGAUGGAUCAUUCACAGGACCAAAUAUAUGAAUGGAAUCGUAAUGCUACUGUGUCCAUAGGAAAGCUACUGGUUGUUUUUUAUGAGUUUGACAGCAACAGAAGCAACUCAAAACAGAAGAGUGUCAUAAUUGCUUUAUGCCUGCACUUCCCUGGCUCCUGCAUAUGAAGUUUGCACAGAGAAGCUGAGUCAGCACUGGCAGAAACUGAUGUGACUGCAGUUCAUCUUUACCAAGCUUACUGUCAAUUCUGUUAAUAGCAACAUUAGUGUUUCAAAAAUUCAUUGAAAAGGCAUGAGGGACAUCUGCUCUCUACACGCUCUCCUUUUCCUGUCCUAGCUGGCAGGAUCAGAUUCUUAGCUGGCGUAAAGUGUUGUAGGAUCACUGAUACCAGUGAAGUAUUCUUUACUCCAUCUAAUGAGCUGAUUCAAAGGCACUGAGAGAAGAGAGACAGAACUCAUCUCACAGAACACUAGAAUAUGCAAAAGUUACUGAUUUCAGCCAUCUGCUUUAUAAAAAAUAUUAACAGAAAGCAAAUAUCACAAGCCAUUGCUUAAAUUUGCAGUCACACAAACUAGGGAAUUCUACCCAUUUUCAGAGUCCAGACAUGUUUAAAAAAAUGCAGACCCACUCUGAAGAGAGUGUCGAAUUUAUUAAAAAUGUUUUGUGUAAUGAUCUAUGCUGAUGGCUCCCAGAUCAAAGUCUUGCAAAACAUAUGUGGCAAUUAUCAAGCCUGCUGUAUCAGCAGCUUUAAACAUAGCGUUGAUCAUAGUUGUUGCUGAAAUUUAGAUUAUUGGUUUUACUACUGCAGUAUUUGGAAAUCUUGCCAAUAGGAAGUACAUUGAUAAGUUGUUAUUUUGCUGUUAUCAUAACAGAGGUGUCAAAAUUAAACAAGAAUAAAUUAGGAUAACAAAUAUAUUAACAUUGAAGAGAUUCAUUAAGUUUAGCUCUCAGAAAAAAAAAAAAAAAAGAAAUCAAGGAAUUUACCUAUAUUUCUUCAGGAUCUAUGAAGUGGUAUUCAGGGUUGCAUCAAAAGUCUAUGCAGCCCCAAAUGUUCUUUCCUACAGGGAUCAGCUGCAAGUGUAUAAAUGUAAGAAAUGGAAGGAAGUAGAGAGAGUGAUUCUUUGUUGGUGCCCUCAAGCCACCUUCUUUAGAACUGACAGGUGCUAGAUGUUGUACCCCUUCCAUCACAUUCAACACCACGCCAGCAGAUCUUUCCCCAGGAGCUCUCUGAAACAGUUUUGAAUAUGUUUAAACUCUCGCUCACCUCUGUAUCUUGCAAUAAUGAGUUCUGCAAUUUAUUUGUAAGUUGUGUAAAAGCAGUUUUAUCUGUUGUUUUUCCUAAUAUAAAACAUUGGAGCACCUCUAGUUCCUACACUCAUAAUAGCUUGCAAUUACUUCCUGUCUGCUAGUUAAGACUGUGUAGACCUAUUUGCUGACUUCCUUCAGUCCCGCCUUUUCCAAGAUGAAGAAAUGCAGGCUAUAUGCACAUGAAAUCUGUUCUGUAUUUCUAAUCACCCUUACCAUGACUUCAAAACUACACUAAACUGUUUUCCAAAUUGAUUGAAUUGUAUUGUGUUCAAGAUGUGAGCAUGCCAUGGAUUUAUAAAGCGGUGCAAAGAUACUUUUUAUUCUGUUCUCCAUUCAGUUCCUAACAACUUCAAAUAUUAGAUUUGCCUUUAUGAAAAUGGCAGAACAUUGUGCUAAUGUUUUUAAAGAAGCAGUUAAAGAUUUUCUGAAUGGUGAUAGAUAAUUUAGAAAUCAUCAUAGUUUAUGCCAGUUUACACAGGAAUUUUCCGUUUUGUUUUACUCUGCAUUUCUUCAAAAUCUCAAUAUUUUCUACCAUUCUGUUGACUAGGCAAAUAAUUUAAUAAAAAUAAUACUUGGAAAAACUGUAGCUUGUAAAAGUAAAAAAUAAAGAGUGAGACUUUUCUGAGUCAAAAUA